CGCCGAUCUGUUCAUGGUCGAAGGUGAUUGUGUUUGUGUUUGUGUUUAGUUCACUCGAAUUUCGGUUUGUACUGCAAUUGUGCUCUAGAAAGUUUUGGUUGUACAUUGUUUCGUAUUUUAUUUUACUUUUACUUUUAAUUCGGACUGUGCUUGCAUCGUGGAAUUCAUAUGCUCAUCGUGCAUCGUGGAAUGGCCGAUGUGUGCGGCGCUUUGUGACCUCUAAAUUGCCUAUCCUGGAGUUGUAGAGGCAUUCAGACUCGACUAGGAGACAGUUUGAUGCAUCGUGGUCAAGUGUUGGCGUCAACGAGCUUUAUGUUGCAGAAGCGUAGGAGACGGACGGAGUUGUGAUUCAUGGACUGCAAUUCUGAUUAGGAGGAAGGCCCUGAUCGUGUGUUACGAAUAUGCUGAAUCUGUUGAAGCGUGCGGAGAGGGGAAGUAAGCUUGCAGGGAGAAGAGCGCCACAUUGGAACCGAAGAAUGGAAAGGUAGAGGAAGGGCCUAGGAGUCCUACUCCAGCAAAGCUGUUUCUCAAAUUGCUAAGCUCUGGGAAUCCAAAGAGAAGGAGACGUAAGAAUGCAACCUAAAAGUGGUCGAAUAUGAAGAAUUACUCCGGCGUAUUGUGUCAUAUUGAAUUAUCAUAACAAUUUUUCAACUACCAUAUAGCGCGGUGGAAUUAAAGACCUUCACAAUCCAGAUGAAAAUCUUAACCUAUCUCCUGGAUGUACUGAAUGUGUUCACUAUUCCUGGUCAGAUUUUGUUGACUCACGAAAUGCUCUUCUUGAUAGAUACCGCAGACCCGAACAGUGGCAUGUAUGCAGAGUAAGCAUGUCCGCUUGCAGCGAGUCUCUUCAUGAUUGCUGAGGAACUGAGUCGGGUAUGUUUCCCUCGUGAAUUUCAGUAAGUUAGUGACGAGGAAGUGGGAUAGAAAGGAGCAGCGGAGAUGUUACGAUUGUAACCGAGACUAUCUUUGUGCAUCCAUGUUUGAUGCUGUGCAAAAAAUUCCGCAACAAUGUUCAAACUAGAGAAGAGCUCGAGGAAGAACCCAAGCUCGAACUCAAGGCUACUAUAUGGUUCAUCGGUAAAUAAGACUAGAAGGAGAAUCCUGGUAGAAGCUUCGACAGUUGAUACUCUGCGGUAAGCAUUUUCUUAGUCCAGACACCACUUAUCCAAAAAAGUAGGGACAUGUUUCGUAUCGUUGCACACUUGAGAAGAAGAGCUGGAAAAUGACCAUUGUUAUCAAUCGUGUUGGUGAAAUUUAUUCAUUUCAUGGUGAAACUUAUUCACGGCUGUGCACCCAAAGAAAGGAAACAUUUGCACGAAGAGCACAUAAUUAUGUUAGCCGCUUCAAAGGUUAACAAUCAGCGUGCCUACUGAUACUGGCAGAAAUUAA